AUUGAAAAAGGCAACAGAAGCG
rnacentral:miRNA from 1 species